rnacentral:lncRNA from 1 species
ACUGCACUCCAUCCUGGGCAACAAGCGAGAUUCCAUCUCAAAAGAAAAAAAAAAAAGAAUUUUCUGUUUAUAUUACAUAUAGUCUCACUUCAUAUUUCAUUUCUCUCACCUCUGAUACCUGGAGUCCUUUGCUAGUACUGAAAUUGAGUAAAGUCAUUCUCAUGAGUUUUAGUAAACUCAAAACUCAAAACUCAUGAAGUUGGCAAAACUCAAAGAAUGCUUUGGUCUAGUUUGACAUUGGCCAGUAUGUUUUUCAUAUCCAGUCAUUCCUUUUUUCCUGGCUGACAUCCUCACUUCCUGCCUGUGGAGGAAAAGUUAAAUAUUAAAUUUGAACUCAAUUGAAUGUGGACACAAACAAUGGUCACCAAGUCCGGGAACAGGUUGUGUGAGUCCCUUGAGGCAUUUAUCCUGCCCUGUUUCGGAGAAAUCUCUAUUUCAAACUAUUCCUAUGUGUUACUUACUGAAAAACAACAGACAAUCGCAAAAACAAGUUGACCUUUUUGUGUUCCUUGAGCCCAGUCACAAAGGGCCCUCAUGACUGGGCCUCAUGCCAAACAACUUGUUACAAAAAGAGCUAGGGUCCCAGACCGCACCAAAGACCCAUGAGACCUCUCCUCGUCUGUGCACAGACUGGUGGCCGACUCUGGAGCCCAGGCUGUUGCUUCCUGGUCUGGUGAUGAAUCCUCCAUAGUCUGGGGUCUCACUUUGUUGCCCAGGCUGGCCUAUUCCAGGAUUUGACUUUGCAGUUGAUUCCCUAGACAUGUGAAGAUCUGAGUCUAAUCAAAGAUAAUUCAGAGAUCGUCAGGGUAACAUGCAAGGACUGGAAAGGGGUCUCCAGUCACCUCUCAUGAGGAGACGCGUCCCACUGCCUCAUUGAGGUGGCCUCAGGGUGAAGAAUCAGGACCCACCUGGUGCAACGAAUAAACCCAGACUCUCAGCAUCGCGAGGAGAAAAAGUCUUGCAACACCGUGGCGACCAAGUAACUCUGUGCACAUACUAAGUCCUGAAAUCUUGGUUGUAUGGAUCUUGAAAUGAUCUUUCAUGAGAACAACCCGGGUCAACAUUAAGGCCACACAGACAAUCAUCACACUGGGGUCACUGUCCAAACCAAACAUAACUGUCUCAAUCCCAAUCUGCAAAAUAGAAAUGUAUUAAAAACCUAAAUCAUGAGCCGCUGGCUCACGCC